CGAAUGCUGAGAGCUUGUGAGGGAAGAGCAAAAUAUGUUGGGAUUACAGUGGAGAUCAUGGAACAAAGCAGGGGUCAAUGUUUUUUUUCAGAGAUAUGCAUUGGUAUCCCAUGGAACAUUCAUGUCAAAAAAAAUCAAACAAGAAAAGGAAUGCCUCCAUGAUACAAGGAAACAACGUUCUGAAGUCAUAUUUUCGUCAGAGUAUGACCUUUUCUAAAACACACUGCAGGAAGAUGCUUUGGGAUCCAGAGGAAAGACUUUUGAUAAAAACUACUGUGACUGAGCUCCAGACUUUGAUGCUAAAAAAAUACAGCUGUGACUACCUGAUGAAAGCUGCUCAGAAUAAACACUGAGUCACUGAAUCGCAGACACCAGGCUUCCCCUAUGGC
ensembl:lncRNA